UGUAAAAUAUACACUGGAUUUCAAAAACUUAGUAAAAAACAAACAAAAAAUAUCUCAGUAUUUUGAAGGUGGAAAUAUUUCAAAUAUAUUGGAUUAAAAAUUUUAUUAAAAUAGUUUCAUUUGUGGGUGCCUGGGUGGCUCAGUGGGUUAAAGCCUCUGCCUUCCACUCAGAUCAUGGUCUCAGGGUCCUGGGAUUGAGCCCCGCAUCAGGCUCUCUGCUGAGAGAGAUUCCCUUCCUCUCUCUCUGCCUACUUGUGAUGUCUCUCUGUCAAAUAAAUAAAUAAAAUAUUUUUUAAAAGUUUGUUUCUUUUCACUUCUUAAAUGUGGCUACUAGAGAAUGUAAUAUUUAUGUUAGCCAUCACUGUCCUAGAAUAUAGACUAUGGCUACCAUGAGUGGAGUGUGCCUGUCUGGAGACUGAAAGAAAACUCAGGCUUUGGUAAAGAGAAGGGUGACUGGGAGAAACUGGCACAGCCAGAGCCAAGGGUUUGGGGGAGGUAUAUAUACACCAAGAAAAUGAAAGUAAUUUUAGGUGAUGGAAUAGAAAUAAAGAGGGUCCAAAAAAAGAAAAAAAAAAAAAAAAGGAAGAGGUUAGUUCCUCUUGUUCUGCCCUGCUCACACCUAAACAACUUUCCCCUAAGAUCAGUGGUCUUUUAAGCUAGAAAGACUAACCUGACUUAAGUGCAAUAUAAACUAUGUCUUUAUAUCUGCCUCUAUAUUCCCAGCCUCCACCCAAAUAUGGUGAGCUUUUUCAGGGCAGGAGCCUUGCCUUUUACCUUUGUACCUGGAAACUGGGAUAUUGUAAAAACUGAUCAAUAUUUGUAGGGACCCAGAAAAGAGAAAAGGUGAAUGGGAGGGGCUUACAGGGUCUUGUCAAAGAACCAGGUUCCUACAUGGUUCAUUUUCUGGCCAUGAGAAGGUAAUGCUGAGCCCAAAGAACUAUGGAUGGGCUCUGACAUACCAGAGUAGGCAGGAGAGGAGAGAGUUCUGACGUAGAGUCUUCCUAGAUCUUUAGGCCACAUCAGAGUUCUUUUUACAGGCAAGGUGGACUUAGCACCCAAUCUUCCCUUAGUACCCACUCUUCCCCUCCCUUUUCCUUGCUUCCCUGUGUCUAAGUUUUUCUAUUUCAUUCUUUUUUAAGGAGUGACACAGGUCCAGGGGCACCCUCCCACCCGGACUGGGCCCUCUCACUUCUUUGUGAGGCUUGAAAAAUUCCCUAGUGAGGGAUUUAAGUGUGGAAGUCAGAAGGUUAGGAAGCAGAAGGGACCAGUUUUAUGUAAGCGGGACCAUGGUUUUGCCAGGUCUGUCUGCACCUCCUCACCCUCUUUCCCCUCCAGUGAUCAAACAGCUUUCUGGAUGUUCCCUUCUUAUUUUUCCACCUUACCUGAUCUGCUCAACACUUUCCCAGGCCAUACCAGUCCAGAACAAACGGAGUCAUGCACAGCAUCAGUGAUGAUGGUUUCCUUAGAUUGUGCCUCUAGUGGUUAUGGCAGGACACGAGACACACACACAUGCACAACCAGUUUCUAUCAGUUAUUUCUGAACAUACCCAGGACACCACACACACACACACACACACACACACACACGCAACCAGUUUCUAUCAGUUAUUUCUGAACAUACCCAGGAAUGUCUUCUAUGAGCCAUCUCCAUUACCAUGUGCCUGGCCAGGAUGCUUCCUCCUACCUGACCUCCUUCCAGGAGAUUUUCUGUCCUUCACUUCCUGUAAAGCCAUGUAUAUGUGCUAUGCCACAUCACACAUCACUUGCUGGUCCCCACCUUGAUAACAAUAAUGUAUAGGGCCAGAAUACUGUCUGUUCCUAGAGAUGGUCCCCCUAUUGCUGAUAAGUUACUGAAAUCCCUAGAAUACCAAAGUAACACAAGGUUUAGUCCCAAAGCAGGGAGAAUUUUAAAACCUUCUUUCAGAGGAAUGCUAAAUGAGUAUUGUUGGUUUCCCAGUGUCCUAACGUAACACUUGAGGAAAACAGUCCCUCCUCUCUAAACACUAAGAUUUUCAAACAUGAAAUACAUUAUAUUUAUUUUUACCAAUAUUGUAUAUUUAAAAAAAUUGAACCACCUUUUUCUUACCUUUUAGCUAUCUCUUCUGGGAUAUAUCUCCAUAAUAAUACGCUUAUAACUAGUUCUUGAUUUUUCAGUUUGGUCUAUUAUUCUACUUCUUCUUACAAGAAAUAGACUAUGCAGGGGCGCCUGGGUGGCUCAGUGGGUUAAGCCUCUGCCUUCGGCUCAGGUCAUGAUCUCAGGGUCCUGGGAUCAAGCCCCACAUCAGGCUCUCUGCUCAGUGGGGAGCCUGCUUCCUCCUCUCUCUCUGCCUGCCUCUCUGCCUACUUGUGAUCUCUGUCAAAUAAAUAAAAUCUUAAAAAAAAAAAAAAAAGAAAUAGACCAUGCAUAUAUACUCUAAUGCCCUCUUGUAAACAUAUAUAUUAUUUCUCUAUCCUUCAGUGUAUCUCUAUCACCUUAGGUAAAUAACCUCAAUAUAUUAUUAUGACUGUAUGUAUUAUUCAUAGUUGGUUCCAUUAGCAUAAUAUUACAUUUUGGUUUUUUGACUGAAAUUAGCCAGUGCCUCUUUUUCCAUGCUUUAAGUGGCUAGCACUUAAGUAUCUAUAAUUCAUUUACCUAAAACUCUCAAUACAUUCAAACACAUCAGGUAGCCUAUCAGUUUAUUUUUCAAACUGGAGACAACCCUCUAGGAGUCUAUCAUUAUCCUUCAUUCUGGAUUAGUUGUUCUCUAAGCCUGCUGUACAGUUUUUGUCCUAGGAUAAUUUAUCAUUUCUUCUCUUUUCUACUUCUUUUAUUCUGAAAGAUUUCCAUAUUCCAAGUCUUCUUUUAAAUUUUUACAUUUAAAUUAUCCUGUCUUACAUUUACUAGAGUACCUUCUUGCCCACUCUUCCGUCACCCUUUAUUAUUAUUUUUUUCCCCUUACCCUUUAAAUAGCAUUCUGUUCCAUCAGGGUAUGCAAUAUUUUAUUUCUCUGAGAAUAUUUCUAAUUGUAUUUCUUGAAUUGUCCGUGUUGAGUUUUUCAGUCCUUGUUUCUGUCUUUUGUGUUAGAAACUUUUCUUAAAUGUCUGGAGAUCCUUGACUAUCCAUUCAUAUGUAAGAGUGUGUUUAAGAACGAGAGCUGAUUGGAAGCCCUACGUACAUGACAAGAAAAAGUUAGUGGAGCUCUGAUCUUGGAUAAUGGGAAGAAGAAUGACUAGGAAGAUACAAUGUUGGGCAGCAAUAAGAGCCUAAGAGAUACGGACAUGAAUUUAAGACAUGUCUCCUGAAGCAAGGGAAACAAAAGCAAAACUGAACUAUUGGGACUACAUCAAAAUUAAAAGCUUCUGCAAAGCAAAGGAAACAAUUGACAAAACUAUAAGACAACCUACCAAAUGGGAGAAGAUAAUUACAAAUAACAUAUCCAAUAAAGGGUUACUAUCCAAAAUAUAUAAAGGAUUUAUGCAAAUCAGCACCAGUAAAACAAUCCCAUUAAAAAUGGGCAGAAGACAUGAAUAGACAUCUCUCCAAAGAAGACAUACAGAUGGUCAACAGACACAUAAAAAGCUGCUCAACAUCACCCA